GAUGAACGCUAGCUACAGGCUUAACACAUGCAAGUCGAGGGGUAACGAGAGGAAAGCUUGCUUUCCUUGUCGACGACCGGCGCACGGGUGAGUAACGCGUAUCCAACCUGCCCCCAACUAGGGAAUAACCUUGCGAAAGUAAGACUAAUACCCUAUAAUUUCCUCAGAUGUCAUCUGACGAGGAAUAAAGAUUUAUCGGUUGUGGAUGGGGAUGCGUCUGAUUAGCUUGUUGGCGGGGUAACGGCCCACCAAGGCAACGAUCAGUAGGGGUUCUGAGAGGAAGGUCCCCCACAUUGGAACCGAGACACGGUCCAAACUCCUACGGGAGGCAGCAGUGAGGAAUAUUGGUCAAUGGGCGGAAGCCUGAACCAGCCAAGUAGCGUGCAGGAUGACGGCCCUACGGGUUGUAAACUGCUUUUAUACAGGAAUAAAGUUAGCCACGUGUGGUUAUUUGUAGGUACUGUAUGAAUAAGGACCGGCUAAUUCCGUGCCAGCAGCCGCAGUAA
rnacentral:rRNA from 1 species